GCAGCACUCACGGGUCCCAGUUCUCAGGCCCCAAGGACUCAGAGCAGCAAAGGAUAUGUGACACAAGCAGGGCUGAACUGGACACCAGACUUUCUUUGGGGUUGUAAAAGGAGAAGUGUGACUCCACUGCCAAGGGUGAGCACUCUUGUCUUAUGCUACCCUUUAUUCUUGAACCUUGGGGCAGCCUGUGUCUCCCUUCCCUAAACGUCAUCUGUUCCAUUUUUCCAGUCUUCCAGACCUGGUCCUUGGACUGGAGACCCUGCCUAUUUUGUGGCUUUCUCUUCAAAUCCACCUCUUCCUUCCUCCAUGACUUAUAAGUCAUCAUCUCUGCUGGUUUCUGAAAUGAGAUAUGCUUCUUGGGGUCUUCAGUGAAGAGGAAUAGCAAGUGAAAGGAGGAUGGUGGCAGGGUACAUGAAACCCUACCAGGCUUCUAGGCUUCCCUUGCAUGGCAGCCAGCCUCUAAGUUGGCCCCCAACCAUCCCUGCCUUCUUCUAUUCACACCCUUGUGUGGUUCCUUCCCACAUUGAAUAGGCCUGACUUGUGUAACCACUACGCUAUUGAAGAAAUGAGAGUUUGACUUCUGAGGGUAAGUC
rnacentral:sRNA from 1 species